AUAAUAUUCCGAAAAUACUUGUCAUUAAAAUGGAUAAAAGGGAAUGUAUCUAAACGUAUUUUAGUUUAGAUACAUCUCUUUUUAUCCAUUUUGAUGACAAGUAUUUUCGGACGGAGGGAGUAGCUA
rnacentral:pre_miRNA from 1 species